UAAAAUCCCCUCUAGCCCCAUUAGAGCAAAAGAAAUAAAAAGAAAGAGAAAGAUCCUUCUCUCUCUCUCUCUCUCUCUCUCUCUUUCUCUCUCUUUAAUUCUCUCUCUUCCCCACAACAACAAAAACUAAAGCCAUGGACAACAUUAGUGAAGAAUACAACAAUAUUGAAGAGUACAAACACUAUUGGGAGACCAAAAUGUUCCUUCAAACUGAAGAGCUUGAUAGCUGGGGAUUGGACGAGGCGUUUUCUGGGUACUAUGAUUCGAGCUCGCCGGACGGAGCGGCGUCGUCGGCGGCGUCGAAGAACAUUGUGUCGGAGAGGAAUAGGAGGAGGAAGCUGAACGAAAGGCUGUUUGCACUCAGAGCAGUGGUCCCGAACAUCAGCAAGAUGGAUAAGGCUUCAAUAAUCAAAGAUGCUAUUGAAUAUAUUCAAGAGCUGCAUGAACAAGAAAGAAGAAUCCAAGCUGAGAUAAUGGAGCUUGAAUCAGGAAAAUCCAAGAAAAAUUCUGGUUAUGGCUUUGAGCAAGAGCUUCCCAUCUUGUUGAGAUCAAAGAAAAAGAAAACUGACCAAUUUUAUGAUUCUGGGGGUCCAAGAACUUCCCCUAUUGAAGUCCUUGAACUUAGGGCAACAUACAUGGGGGAGAAAACAGUGGUGGUGAGCCUAACAUGCAGUAAAAGGACAGACACAAUGGUGAAGCUUUGUGAGGUCUUCGAAUCUUUGAAACUGAAGAUCAUCACAGCAAACAUCACUGCUUUUUCUGGGAGGCUUGUGAAAACCGUCUUCGUUGAGGCAGGUGAAGAGGAAAAAGAACACCUGAAGAUACAGAUUGAAACAGCCAUUGCAGCUCUCAAUGAUCCACAAAGCCCUAUGAGCAUUUAACAACACCAGAUGGAUCAAAAGUUUGAGUCCUCCAAGGAAGGGUGGGAUGUUUGUUGUAGAAGAUGGAUCCAGGAGGCAUCUAGUUAUUGUGAAGGAGUUGAUACAGAUAAUUUUUUAGGACCUAGAUCUCGUAUGGCUCAAGUUUAUGUGAGACGCUGAUGGAGCUACUUGCAAGGAUAUCCAGGAGGCAUCUAGUUAUUGUGAAGGACUUGAUACAGAUAAUUUUUUAGGACCUAGAUCUCGUAUAGCUCAAGUUCAUGUGGGACGCUGAUGGAGCUACUUGCAAGGAUAUGAUUGAGAUAAUUUUUAUGUUGUACCUUGUUAAAUGUAGGCUUUAAUUAUGCUAAGAACAAUUGGAUGUCGUUUGUAACAUAUUUUGAUGAUUGGUCUUUGACCUCAACAUUUGGAGGUUUAUCUAUGUUAUAAUGCUAUUAAGUUUCACUUU